rnacentral:lncRNA from 1 species
CUCUGAUUCGCUGGAAAGACUCAUGGAAUCUCUUGAGUCAUUGUCAUCCUCUUCCUCGCUGUCCUGGGAUUCAUCCCCAUCGCUGUCCAUCUCCUGCCUACCCUGUGCCUCUCUCCCUGAACCCCUGACAGUUAGGUUUAGGUUUAGGUUUAGGUUUAGGGUUAGGGUUAGGUUUAAGGUUAAGGUAGAGGUAGAGGUUCGGGUUCGGGUUCGGGUUCGGGUUCGGGUUCGGGUUAGGGUUAGGGUUAGGGUUAGGGUUAGGGUUAGGUUUGAGGUUAGAGUUAGAGUUAGAGUUAGAGUUAGGGCUAGGGCUAGGGCUAGGGCUAGGGUUAGGGUUAGGGUUAGGGUUAGGGUUAGGAUUGGGAUUGGGAUUGGGAUUGGGGUUGGGGUUAGGGUUAGGGUUAGGGUUAGGGUUAGGGUUAGGGUUAGGCUUAGGGUUAGGGUUAGGCUUGAGGUUAGGGUUAGAUUUAGGGUAGAGGUUAGGGUUAGCGUUAGGGUAUAGGCUAGGGUUAGAAUUAAGGUUAAGGUUAGGGUUAGGGUUAGGGUUAGGGUUAGGUUUGAGGUUAGAGUUAGAGUUAGAGUUAGAGUUAGAGUUAGGGCUAGGGCUAGGGCUAGGGUUAGGGUUAGGGUUAGGGUUGGGGUUGGGGUUGGG